AAACCCUCAACCUUAGAUUGGUUAUUUGACCUUUCUUUGGCUUGGAUUUGGACGUUUGCCGAUGAUAAGUCGGCUCGUCUUAAAAGUAAUAGCUGGAUCUGUCUCGCGACAUGGUUUGACUUGGCGUAAUAAGUAUUUCGCUAAGGACAUCUUCGGAUGGCCCUGUUGCAGACUAAAGACCGCUUUCUAAUACAAGUUCUAGCUUGCUAGACAUGACUUUUUUAUU
rnacentral:misc_RNA from 1 species